CCUACGGGUGGCAGCAGUAGGGAAUAUUGCUCAAUGGGGGAAACCCUGAAGCAGCAACGCCGCGUGGAGGAUGAAGGUUUUCGGAUUGUAAACUCCUUUUGUUAGAGAAGAUAAUGACGGUAUCUAACGAAUAAGCACCGGCUAACUCCGUGCCAGCAGCCGCGGUAAUACGGAGGGUGCAAGCGUUACUCGGAAUCACUGGGCGUAAAGAGCGCGUAGGCGGGAUAGCAAGUCAGAUGUGAAAUCCUAUGGCUUAACCAUAGAACUGCAUUUGAAACUGUAAUUCUAGAGUAGGGGAGAGGGAGGUGGAAUGCUAGGGGGAGGGGGAAAAUGCGUAGAGAGCAAGAGGAAUA
rnacentral:rRNA from 1 species